UACGUAGGGUGCAAGCGUUAAUCGGAAUUACUGGGCGUAAAGCGUGCGCAGGCGGCUUGGCAAGUCAGAUGUGAAAUCCCCGGGCUCAACCUGGGAACUGCAUUUGUGACUGCAUGGCUGGAGUGCGGCAGAGGGGGAUGGAAUUCCGCGUGUAGCAGUGAAAUGCGUAGAGAUGCGGAGGAACACCGAUGGCGAAGGCAGCCCCCUGGGCUAGCACUGACGCUCAGGCGCGAAAGCGUGGGGAGCAAACAGG
rnacentral:rRNA from 1 species